AUGAUAUGAAUCUCAAAUGAGACUCCAAACUCACAUUGUUCGUAUGCAUUAGUGAACAAUAAAAGGCCUUUAAAAAGCGGGCAUUUCUGUGUUGCAAUUGAAAAAAGAAAAUGAACCGUAUAGUAUCAGUUACAUGAGUAAAUAAAUUUAUAAACACAUUAAAAA